rnacentral:rRNA from 1 species
GACGAACGCUGGCGGCGUGCCUAAUACAUGCAAGUCGAACGAAGCUGUUUUAACUGGUGCUUGCACCGACUUAAACAACUGAGUGGCGAACGGGUGAGUAACACGUGGGUAACCUGCCCCAAAGCGGGGGAUAACAUUUGGAAACAGAUGCUAAUACCGCAUAACCACAGAAACCACAUGGUCUCUGUGUCAAAGAUGGUUUCGGCUAUCACUUUGGGAUGGACCCGCGGCGUAUUAGCUAGUUGGUAAGGUAAUGGCUUACCGAGGCAAUGAUACGUAGCCGAACUGAGAGGUUGAUCGGCCACAUUGGGACUGAGACACGGCCCAAACUCCUACGGGAGACAGCAGUAGGGAAUCUUCCACAAUGGACGAAAGUCUGAUGGAGCAACGCCGCGUGAGUGAAGAAGGUUUUCGGAUCGUAAAACUCUGUUGUCAGAGAAGAACGUGUGCGAGAGUAACUGCUCGUGCAGUGACGGUAUCUGGCCAGAAAGCCACGGCUAACUACGUGCCAGCCGCCGCAGUAA